rnacentral:rRNA from 1 species
CUUCGGGGAACGAUAACGGCGUCGAGCGGCGGACGGGUGAGUAAUGCCUAGGAAAUUGCCCUGAUGUGGGGGAUAACCAUUGGAAACGAUGGCUAAUACCGCAUGAUGCCUACGGGCCAAAGAGGGGGACCUUCGGGCCUCUCGCGUCAGGAUAUGCCUAGGUGGGAUUAGCUAGUUGGUGAGGUAAGGGCUCACCAAGGCGACGAUCCCUAGCUGGUCUGAGAGGAUGAUCAGCCACACUGGAACUGAGACACGGUCCAGACUCCUACGGGAGGCAGCAGUGGGGAAUAUUGCACAAUGGGCGCAAGCCUGAUGCAGCCAUGCCGCGUGUGUGAAGAAGGCCUUCGGGUUGUAAAGUACUUUCAGUCGUGAGGAAGGCGGCGUCGUUAAUAGCGGCGUUGUUUGACGUUAGCGACAGAAGAAGCACCGGCUAACUCCGUGCCAGCAGCCGCGGUAAUACGGAGGGUGCGAGCGUUAAUCGGAAUUACUGGGCGUAAAGCGCAUGCAGGUGGUUUGUUAAGUCAGAUGUGAAAGCCCGGGGCUCAACCUCGGAAUAGCAUUUGAAACUGGCAGACUAGAGUACUGUAGAGGGGGGUAGA